GGGGGGAUGUCGGAAGGGGGGGGGGGCAAACACGCGGCUCAUUCAUCAAAGCACACUCGGGCCCGGCGGGCAGAAGGGGAAUUAUGACACCGCCAGGCUGAGCGAACUCAGGCGCGGCUCGGGUGUUGAAGGAACGGGAACAUUUUGGUGGAAGAGGAUGAAAUGAAAGAGGACUUGGUUGUUUGUGGGAAGAGGAGGUGAGGAGGGGGAUGGAGGGCGAUGGGAUCUAAAAAUUGGCGCAUACUGAAUUCAAGGCGGAGGUGAGGGUGAACCGUCCAAAGGUGGUUUUUUUCUGAGAGCCGGUGGCCGGCGGCGAAGGACCGUCGAAGACCAGACCAGAUAGAGCGCAAUUGUCUUGUACUGACAAAACUAGCUUGGUGUGAAUUGCUAAUUGAG
rnacentral:lncRNA from 1 species